rnacentral:misc_RNA from 1 species
GUGGAGUGGAGGACGCGUACAACGCAACAAACGGGGCAUAAAGAACACAUGCAAAACUCCAAAACCUCUCUCUGUUUUAGCUUUUCUUUCUUUCACCGAUUCGAAUUUCAUCUACAGUUCUCCUUCUCUCUCUCAAAUUAGGGUUUAUGCUCUUCUUUUGGUCACUUUGGGACUAAAAUUCGAUCGAUGCUGUUGCUGUUAUCACCGGUAUUAAUAUCUGUGAUCCUUUUAUAGAUUUCGUUUUAUUUUAGCUCCAUUGAAAUCUAGCUAUUCUUCUUGUUUCUUCAAUUUUUUCCGCUUUUACCUGUUCUGCUCGAUAUCGGGAAUAUUUGCAGUGUUAACUACCGUGAUUUAAUUGUGAAAUUACCGUUAUUAAUUGUCUUAUACAGAAAAAGUGCUAAAUCGUAUGCUAUUGAUUGUUGCUUAAGCGCUCCAUUGCUUUCGUUAACCCAUGCUAUUUAUAUAUGUUGUCUUGUGCUGAGUUUUUCUAAGUUAAUUCAUUUUAUUUAUGGGAAUUGAGAUCAUUUAUCCGUGUAGUUUUUUCUUAGCCCACAAAGAUCUUUCAAAUUUAAUUCGAACUUUCCUUGAAUGGAGGACAAUGAUUCACAAAGUCUGACUCCAGCUAUAUUGUAAAUGAGGUGUAGUUGAGUUGAGUCCUUAAAUUUCCUUGUUCAAUUUGUUGGACUGUGUAUCAUUGUAGACAUUGUGGAACUGGCAAUUGUUAUAUCCUCAAUUUCCUUUCUGGGUAUAUGUUCUGGUUGAAUUUAGUUCAUUGGUUAUUGAAACUUAUGGCCAUUCUUCAUGGUUGUCCACAUGUUUCUGAUUGUGAUAAUUCACUGUAUUUUGACUGUCCUUCACUGACAGACCGAAAGCUAUGCAAUGAAGC